rnacentral:rRNA from 1 species
UACGUAGGGGGCAAGCGUUGUCCGGAUUUAUUGGGCGUAAAGAGCGUGUAGGCGGUCCGGUAAGUCCGCUGUGAAAGUCGGGGGCUCAACCCUCGAAUGCCGGUGGAUACUGUCGGGCUAGAGUGCGGAAGAGGCGAGUGGAAUUCCUGGUGUAGCGGUGAAAUGCGCAGAUAUCAGGAGGAACACCUAUUGCGAAGGCAGCUCGCUGGGACGUAACUGACGCUGAGACGCGAAAGCGUGGGGAGCAAACAGG